rnacentral:lncRNA from 1 species
AAUAAUUUAACUUGUAAGAACAGACAGCCUCUAUGCUGAAGCUGACAAGAGAAGAGCAGCUUCAUGCUGUGGCUCUAAUGAGCUUGCCUAUGUUAAUUCCUGAAAAUUGACUUGUUUAUGAACUCCAUCCCUUUCCCAUGGUGCUUAUUGCUUAAUGGCCUUGUUAACAUAACAGUGCUGUUGAUCUUGUCGAUCACAGGACUGCCAGGUAUUACCAAAUACACUGGUAAAAAUACAAAAAUGUGGAAGAUUUCCUACAGCUGUGAUCCUCUGAACCACCUCUUGGGUAUCGUCAGCAAAUUUUUUCUUCCUUCAAAUUAUUAGAGGACCACUGGUUUUAAGCUCACUGCAGUGACCUGGGGAAUUUGUGGACUGAUAAAAUUAUUGCAGGAUAAAUGCAGAAAGUAAACAGAGCCUAUAAGGAGCUCAGAACAGAUGUAGGCAUUCAGCAACUAGGGUCUGUUUGCCUUCGUAAUCUGUGCAGUUAUUGUGAUUGAGGACACAUCUGAUAAAACAUUUCCUUUCCUACUUACAGUGUACUACUAAUAGAUUCAAGCAGAGAAAGGUACUUCAUGAUUGUAAUGGAAUUUCCAAGCAGAAAACCCAAACAUUUUGCUAGAUCGGGGCUCCUUUAAGUCUCAUUUUAUUUAGAAGUGGACAAUUGCAUGUAUCAGCUAUUCCUUUGUUCACUGAAACAAUCUUUAGGUCUACAUCAGAGGAUGUCAGCUUUAGUUCCUUCCUUUGAAUUCUGAGAAGUGUGCAUUUAGUUACCUUAUGCUGUUACUUUGACCUUAUGAGUUACCUUACUUCAGUGUAUCUUUUUGCCCUUCACUUAAGUGACCCCUUUUUAACAGCAUUUAUUCAUGUUUAUUCGGCAUAAACUGAUGGAACUUUUUUUAUAUAAGCAUUAUGUAGCUCUAACAGCCUUCUGCUAUUGCAAUAUUUUCCACUAUAAAGUAUGAGUAACUACCCUGAGUUGACACAGUUGUCAGAGAAGACAGAGAAGAGCCAGUAAACAAUUAAGAUUUGCAAGUGGACUUUGAAUACUGUGUUUAUGACAUCCUUCAGUCACGAGCAAAACAGGCACUGAAGUCCUAAGGCCUCACAAUAGGGUUCAUGCUGAAUCUGUGUUCUGCCCCCAUCCUUGCAUUAUUUGCACGUUACAAAUCUCCUUAGCAGGUGUUACCAGAAUGUAAUUUCUGACAGCCACAAUUCCACGUCCUUUGGGAUUGUGGCAUUGUGUUAGCGGUUUUUUAUGUAGUUUUGGUUUUUGUUUUCCCCCCAAGAAGUAUCUAC